rnacentral:misc_RNA from 1 species
GUAAUUUCUUUGAUAUCCAACAAAGGAGCCUUUUCAGGAUAAAGAUAGAAAUGUGCAGGUAGAGUCUACCAUUCUAGCUCAGCGAAGCUCCAAUACUCAUCAAUGGAGUCUCUGUUGCGUCUUCUAUCGCCAGCUACUUCAAAGCUUUCUUUAAUCAGUCCCUCUUCUUCAAUGGCUGCCUCAGCAACUUCGUUUUCUUCUUUGUCAUUCGCUUCCAUGGCCUCUCCUCCACAGCGAAAAACAUCCACUCCAAGAAAGAGAUCUUCAAAACUAGCCAAAACUACAUCUCCAAAAUUGCCCGCAAGUAAUAUAGAUCCGAACGCCUCGUCCACCGUCCCACCCAAGAAGGUUCUGGUUCCAAUUGGGUUUGGUACAGAAGAAAUGGAGGCAGUUAUUAUGGUUGAUGUUCUACGCCGAGCUGGUGCAGAGGUGAUUGUUGCUUCUGUGGAAUCACAGCUUGAGAUUGAGGCUGCUGGUGGAAUUAGACUGGUUGCUGAUACAUCUAUCUCCAACUGCGCUAAUGAAAUUUUUGAUCUUGUGGCUUUGCCGGGAGGAAUGCCUGGUUCAGCAAGGUUAAGAGAUUGUGAGGUUCUCCAGCAAAUUACAAGCAGACAAGCGGAGGACAAGAGGUUAUAUGGAGCUAUAUGUGCUGCACCAGCUGUCACACUCCUUCCAUGGGGCCUUCUUAGAAGAAAGCAGCAUUUGAUGUAAGACAACAUGUCACCCUGCAUUCAUGGAUAAGCUUCCGACCUUGUGGGCUGUUAAAUCAAAUAUUCAAGUGUCAGGAGAGCUUACAACAAGCCGUGGUCCUGGAACUUCUUUUGAGUUCGCUCUAUCCUUAGCUGAGCAGCUGUUUGGAGAGUCUACUGCCAAUGAAGUUGGAGAGUUGCUGUUGAUGCGUACUGCUGAUGACCUGCGUGGAAAAGAUGAGUUUAAUGAAGUUGAAUGGUCUAUCAACCACAAACCACGGGUAAGUUGCUUCUUUCAUCUUGUUUGAGUUUAUAACCAAGUUAGUUUGACAAUCUAGUUUGCCAAAAGAACUCUUUGUAGUUGAUUUGGGGACUUGGUAUAAAGUUUCCACAUUUAAUUAUUUGGAGUGUGGCAAAGUAUUUAAUGUGUUUGCAAGCCCCAUUCAGUGUAACCAUUCAAAUAAAAUAGGUUUCCAAACAAGCUUUUGCAUAUUUCCAUUGUAAUCCUCAUUUAUUGUAUUUCUUACUCAUAUCACUUGUCUAUGUCUAUCUUAUCACUUGUGUAUGUCUAUCUCUGGUGGAUACCAUUUUUUUAUAGAACGUUAAUUAUAGCUUGUAGAAUCCUAAAUAGGAGAGGAUUCCUAGCUUGUAAAGAACUCCUAAUAGUAUAGCACAAUCGUAGGAGAGUUUUGUACAUAUACCUGUGUAAAUUCACUUGAAAUUUAAUGACUAACCUUUUCUAUCUGUCAAAUUUUCACUUUCAUUGAACUCUAGACUUUCUGUAAUUGUUCCAAUGUCACAUAGGUUCUCAUUCCAGUUGCAAAUGGUUCUGAAGAGAUUGAAAUAGUAACUAUCGUGGACAUUUUACGGCGAGCAAAGUUGGAUGUUGUGGUUGCUUCAAUCGAAAAAUCUGUGCAAAUUUUGGCAUCUCGAGGCACAAAAAUAAUUGCUGACAAGUUAAUUGGCGAUGCUUCUGAGUCUAUAUAUGAUCUAAUAAUUCUUCCGGGAGAAAUUGCUGGGGCCAAGCGGCUACACAAAUCAAAGGUUCUGAAGAAGCUGCUUAAAGAACAAGAUGUAGCUGGAAGAAUAUAUGGGGCAGUGUGCUCUUCCCCUGCAGUUCUACAUAGUCAGGGUUUACUGAAGGAUAAGAAAGCCACUGCACAUCCUUCUGUUGUGGGCCAGCUAACCAAUGAAGUAGUGAAUGGUGCCAAAGUAGUUAUUGAUGGUAAAUUGAUCACCAGCAAGGGACUCGCUACUGUAACAGAUUUUGCAAUGGCAAUUGUGAGGAAGCUUUUUGGUCAUGCAAGGGCAAGGAGCAUAGCUGAAGGCCUUGUUUUUGACUAUCCUAGGGCAUAGGUAUAUGAAGUGAGGGUGGAAAUCAGUGCAGAUGCCCUGAGGUGCAAAGGCUAGCCACUUAACCCAGACUCUAAUCAUCCAUUGAAGGAGAUAAAUCUUCUUAGCAGCACAUAGGUCAAGGGUACGCAUGAGAGUCGAAGUAUGAUUCACAGUUUUGGCCGUUAUAUUUGGGUGUCAGGUCCAAUGCAAUUCAUGCCAGUGCUGAUUAACAGAUUCCAUAUGUUUGGUUGAGCUGAUAACUUCUCCAAAUACAUAGAUCAAUGGCGAGAUGCAUUUUUCCAUCUUGGAUUUGAUAAUUUAGUGCCAAGCAAGAUCACUGGUAAAAAAACUAGAAAUGUUCUAUUGUAAUGCAGUUUGCAGUUUAAAUUUUUUAGCAAAGUCAAAGCUUUGAGUUCCCCCUGUAUUUUCAUUGAAUCUAAGAUUAGGCAUAAAUAAAGACAUCUAUACUGGUUGCACUUUCAGUCUCUCUAUAUCGUGUUGAUACUCAGAUGAGGAUAUACAUCAGUCACCAGC